GGCGACUCGUCAAACUCGAAGCUCUAGUUUCAAUCGAUCAAUUCGUUGCAGUAUUAUCAAGUACAGUAUAUAUCAACAUCGGUGGCAAUGGCAUGGCUGGUGGUUGAUGAUUGCUCUAUCUAGUGUGCGUCAGUAUCAGCAAUAUGAUCAGUGGUAUAUCACUGGAUCAGACAGGAGAGUAAGUAUGUAAUGGUGGUUGAUGUAGUGUGCGUCAGUAUCAGCAAUAUGACAGUGUUGCUACUACAGAGUUCCUCGAGGAGCCGGAGCUGCUAGGAUCAUUGGGGCUUGUUUAGUUCCGAAAAUUGUUUGGUUUUCGUUACUAUAUUAAUUUUUUAAAGACAUCAAAUUUUACGGCACAUGCAUGGAGU
rnacentral:lncRNA from 1 species